AUGAGGUGCUGCAGAGGAAAAAGGGGGAGGUCGUCAGCUCGAUGCGGUGGUGGCCAGCGGAGGAAGCCAGCCGAAGCCCGACAGAACCGACCACACCGGGACGGAAAGAUCCCGGGAGGACGGGAUAAUCCGAUGAGGAAGAGAGGGGCCGCCGGCCUGCUAGCCAGGGGGUCCAGGUAGGGAGAGGAGGUUGUCAGCCUGAUGCGGUGGUGGCCAGCGGAGGAAGCCAAAGCCAAAGCCCAGUAAAGCCGACCACACCGGGAUGGAAAGAUCCUGGCAGGACGGGCAGGUGGGCUCGAGCUGGCAGAGAAGAUGGCAGGGAAAGACCGCAGGAAUGGCCACCCCGGUGGCAGGGCGAUGAGGCUAUGCCGAAAUCCCGGGGAUCCUGUAGCUAGCAGGAGCUAGCAGGACGGUGGGAGGACUUCACAGGUACGAAGCAGAUAGAUAGCAGUGAAUCUGUUUGCUCUCCAAUUUCAGAGGACUGCCAAACCAGACUAUCUGGUGUGGUGAGGCGUAGGUCAAGAGACAAAAACUUUAUCAUAAACUAUUGUCGGAGACGGAGCGGCAGCCAAGGUGCGCCAGCAUCCGCCAUCAUUGUUUCAAAAUGACAUUGACAUUGUGAAUUAUUUUCAAAACAUUUCUUUUUAAUAUCUCGUGUGCAAUGGGGUGGGAUGUGGGGGGUUGCAGGCCUCCAACCAUCUCCCUUCUUGGCCCUCACAGAGUCUUUGGUGGCAAGUUAACAGUGGAAAAUAAGAUUUUACCUUUUUAAAUAAUGUCUUAUAAACUAGACUAAUAAGUCUACAGCCGUCUCUGUGAGGCUGUGCUUAGGCUCAGUGAUGCCUUGAACUAAAUGCUAUAGCUGAGGCUGAUGGGAAUGUGACAUAUUUAGUCAGAAACCAAAGUACUGAACGAUUUAAGACUUUGUCCUGAUGAUGGGGCUAGAUGAGAGAGGUCACCUAAGUUAAUAAAACUGAUCCAGAGGGGAAGUCGAAUGUGUGUACCAAGUGUCAUGGCAAUCCAUCCAUGGGUCUGCCAUGUUGAACUGCCAUAGUUCUACAGUUGUCCAGAAGGAACAAACCAAACACUGGUUCAGUAUAGGGGCGUUCACUUUUUUUUUGGCGUGUUUCGCAGCCUUUGUAGUUUCUCCUUCGCGUCCGGAAGGGGAGGGUGAAGCGAAGGAGACACUGGUCUGUUAAAGAAUGUGUGAAUGCAUUAUUCUGUUAUUCUGUUCUGGUUAAAUU
rnacentral:lncRNA from 15 species